UUUAAAAUAGUUACCGCGUAUAUGACUGUGUGAUGUUUACUAGACGACUUAACAAUGUACAAUAAACAUAACAAAAAGUAAUAGCGGCAAACUAUGUAUGUAUGACAAUAUAAAAGUAUGUAUAUAAGACAAUAUAAAAACGACAGUUAUAAUUUUAGUACAAAGAACAUAGAAGUUGCUUAUUUAUUGUGCUUAUAAAUACGAAUUUUAAAUGUCUUUUAAUAUGAAGUGUUUUAUACUUAUGAAAAAACAUAUUGCGUCAAUUUAUCUACAAAAAUAGCUGAAAGUAUUGUGAAUCUCUGGAAUAUUACUACAUAAAGCAAUCUGGAAGGAAACCCCAAGAUAAAUUAUACAACAAAUAUUUGAAUAUAAUGCGUAAGCUGAAAUAAUAUGGCGUUGUCCAAGAGAGGUCUUAUUCCAAUAAAGCACUGGAUACAUAAGUACAAACGAAUUUAAAUUCUAUUUGGGUGCAUCAAAAAAUGACCGGCUCCACGUUGUGUCACAUGCGAAAUGUGCUUCUGACAUAUUAAACAAAUGGUCACAGGUAGAUAAGGAAUUUAAUUAUAUCCAAAAACAGUGUGUGAAGAAAUACACCUAGGCCAAUAUCGGGCCUGUUCUACGCUCAUUAACCAGUGCCUCAGGUAGGAAAAGAACCCACCACCUCCGGUCUAACAGACUAGAAC